rnacentral:lncRNA from 1 species
UUUUUGAUGCCGAUGGAUGUCUUAGCCAAAGAUUUAGUAACCUUCGGAGAUGGUGCAAACCUAGGUUUAGCGAUUUUAAAUGGUCUAUUUCAAAUUUUUACAUAAACUAUACAUCUCAAAAUGUAAAGUUAUCGUACAUUUUCAAAUACUUAUACACUUCAAAAAAAAAAGAUCAUGAAAAAUAAAAUUAACAAAACUCUUUGAACAUGUUACAAAAAAG